rnacentral:rRNA from 2 species
GGGUUAGUAGGUUGGUCAUGCCACUGGUAUGUACUGAUCUUACUGAUUCCUCCUUCCUGAUGAACCGUAAUGCCAUUAAUUUGGUGUUGCGGGGAGACUGGACUGUUACUUUGAAAAAAUUAGAGUGUUUAAAGCAGGCUAACGCUUGAAUACAUUAGCAUGGAAUAAUGAAAUAGGACGUUCGAUCCUAUUUUGUUGGUUUCUAGGAUUGACGUA